AACGAACGCUGGCGGCAUGCCUAACACAUGCAAGUCGAACGAGACCUUCGGGGCUAGUGGCGCACGGGUGCGUAACGCGUGGGAACCUGCCCUUAGGUUCGGAAUAACUCCCCGAAAGGGGUGCUAAUACCGGGUAAUGUCUUCGGACCAAAGAUUUAUCGCCUUUGGAUGGGCCCGCGUUGGAUUAGCUAGUUGGUAGGGUAAAAGCCUACCAAGGCGACGAUCCAUAGCUGGUCUGAGAGGAUGAUCAGCCACACUGGGACUGAGACACGGCCCAGACUCCUACGGGAGGCAGCAGUGGGGAAUAUUGGACAAUGGGCGAAAGCCUGAUCCAGCAAUGCCGCGUGAGUGAUGAAGGCCUUAGGGUUGUAAAGCUCUUUUACCCGGGAUGAUAAUGACAGUACCGGGAGAAUAAGCUCCGGCUAACUCCGUG
rnacentral:rRNA from 1 species